GUGCCAGACUCCUACGGGAGGCAGCAGUGGGGAAUAUUGCACAAUGGGGGAAACCCUGAUGCAGCGACGCCGCGUGAGUGAAGAAGUAUUUCGGUAUGUAAAGCUCUAUCAGCAGGGAAGAAAAUGACGGUACCUGACUAAGAAGCCCCGGCUAACUACGUGCCAGCAGCCGCGGUAAUACGUAGGGGGCAAGCGUUAUCCGGAUUUACUGGGUGUAAAGGGAGCGUAGACGGCAUGGCAAGUCAGAUGUGAAAGCCCGGGGCUCAACCCCGGGACUGCAUUUGAAACUGUCAGGCUGGAGUGCAGGAGAGGUAAGUGGAAUUCCUAGUGUAGCGGUGAAAUGCGUAGAUAUUAGGAGGAACACCGGUGGCGAAGGCGGCCUGCUGGACUGUAACUGACGUUGAGGCUCGAAAGCGUGGGGAGCAAACAGGAUUAGAUACCCCUGUA
rnacentral:rRNA from 1 species